AGGACGAACGCUGGCGGCGUGCUUAACACAUGCAAGUCGAACGGUAAGGCCCCUUCGGGGGUACACGAGUGGCGAACGGGUGAGUAACACGUGAGCAACCUGCCCUUGACUUCGGAAUACCAGCUGGAAACAGCUGCUAAUACCGGAUAUGACUCCUGCCCUCAUGGGUGGGGUGAAAGCUCCGGCGGUCAGGGAUGGGCUCGCGGCCUAUCAGCUUGUUGGUGAGGUAAUGGCUCACCAAGGCUUCGAC
rnacentral:rRNA from 1 species